rnacentral:rRNA from 1 species
UACAGGGGGUGCAAACGUUGCUCGGAAUCAUUGGGCGUAAAGCGCACGUAGGCGGUCUGUUAUGUCGGAUGUGAAAUCCCUGGGCUUAACCUAGGAAUUGCAUUUGAAACUGAGUAGCUAGAGUAUGGGAGAGGGAAGUGGAAUUUCCGGUGUAGCGGUGAAAUGCGUAGAUAUCAGGAGGAACACCGGUGGCGAAGGCGGCUACCUGGACAGAAAACUGACGCUGAGGCGCGAAAGCUAGGGGAGCAAACAGG